ACUGGGCACGGUGGCGUGUGCUUGUAGUACUAGGUGCUUGGGAGGCUGGGCUGUGUUGUGCUAUGCCGAUUGGGUGUCUACACUAAGUGUGGCACCAAUAUGGUGACCUCCCAGGAGCGAGGGACCACCAGGUUGCCUGAGAAGGGGUAAACUGGCCCAGUUUGGAAAUGGAGCAGGUCAAAAUUCCCAUGCUGAUCAGUAGUGGGAUUGCACUUGCGAAUAGCCACUGCACUGCAGACUGGGCAACAU
rnacentral:SRP_RNA from 1 species